rnacentral:rRNA from 1 species
GUCUUUUUGGAAUUUAUAAAAAGUUUAACCUGCCCAUUGAUAGUAUUAAAAGGCUGCGGUAUUUUGACCGUACAAAGGUAGCAUAAUCAUUAGUUUUUUAAUUGAAAACUUGUAUGAAUGGUUGAAUGAAAUAUUAACUGUUUUAAUUAAAAAUAUUGAAUUUUACUUUUUAAUUAAAAGGUUAAAAUAAAAUUAAAAGACGAGAAGACCCUAUAGAGUUUUAUAUUUAUUAUUUUAUAUUUUAAAAAGAUUAUUAAUUAUUAUAUUAUAUAAAGUAUUUUGUUGGGGUGAUAAUAAAAUUUAAUAAACUUUUAUUUAUAAAAAUUAUAUACAUUAAUAUAUGAAAUUUUGAUCCAUUAUUAAUGAUUAAAAAAUUAAAUUACCUUAGGGAUAACAGCGUAAUUUUUUUUUAAGUUCAUAUUAAUAAAAAAUUUUGCGACCUCGAUGUUGGAUUAAGAUUUAAUUUUAGGUGCAGAAGUUUAAAUUUUAAGUCUGUUCGACUUUUAAAUUCUU